CCUACGGGUGGCAGCAGUGAGGAAUCUUCGUCAAUGGACGAGAGUCUGAACCAGCCAAGUAGCGUGAAGGAUGACUGCCCUAUGGGCUGUAAACUUCUUUUAUAUGGGAAUAAAAUGUUCCACGUGUCGGUUCACGUAUGUACCAUAUGUAUACGGAUCGGCUAACCCCGUGCCAGCAGCCCCGGUAAUACGGAGGAUACGAGCGUUAUCCGGAUUUAUUGGGUUUAAAGGGAACGUAGGUGGAUUGUUAAGUCAGUUGUGAAAGUUUUCGGCUCAACCGGAAAAGUGCAGUUGAAACUGGCAGUCUUGAGUACAGAAGAGGUGGGCGGAAUUCGAGGUGUAGCGGUGAAAUGCUUAGAUAUCACGAAGAACACCGGUUGCGAAGGCAGUUCACUGGACUGCAACUGACACUGAGGUUCGAAAGUGUGGGUAUCAAACAGGAUUAGAUACCCGAGUAGUC
rnacentral:rRNA from 1 species